GGAGUCUGGGCCGUAUCUCAGUCCCAAUGUGGCCGUUCAACCUCUCAGUCCGGCUACUGAUCGUCGACUUGGUGGGCCGUUACCCCGCCAACUAUCUAAUCAGACGCGAGGCCAUCUCAGAGCGAUAAAUCUUUGACAUCAAGGCCAUGCGACCCCAAUGUUUCAUGCGGUAUUAGCAGCCGUUUCCAGCUGUUGUCCCCCUGUGAAAGGCAGGUUAUCCACGCGUUACUCACCCGUCCGCCACUAAACUAAAGGAAUCACUCCGAAAAGAUCUUCCAGUAGUCCCGUUCGACUUGCAUGUGUUAGGCACGCCGCCAGCGUUCAUC
rnacentral:rRNA from 1 species